UUUGCGCGCAGGGACUGCUUCCACCUGGACGCAACUCGUGCGGUGCGCAGGCCUGUCCCCUGGGACUCGUGUUUGCUGCCUCUCACCCCCUAGACGGGCCCUGCGAGCCCCCUCGGCCUGCCAGGCCACCUUCCCCAGGCCCACCUGGAGUCCCUUUUCCUUCACUCGCUCCCUGCCCAGCCCCGAACCCGGGGCCUCCACGGCCUGUGCCAGCCUGGGCUCCCACUAACGGGAGCUGGGGCUGCACCUGUGACUUCCCCCAGCCUCCGGCCUCGGGGACCCAGACCCAUGGCUCUACGCGGGCCCUCCUUUCAGCCCACCCCACCCGCCCCCACCCCGGCUGGAGGAGA